UACGUAGGGUGCGAGCGUUGUCCGGAUUUACUGGGCGUAAAGAGCUCGUAGGUGGCUUGUCGCGUCGUCUGUGAAAGUCUGGGGCUUAACUCCGGGUGUGCAGGCGAUACGGGCUGGCUUGAGUGCUGUAGGGGAGACUGGAAUUCCUGGUGUAGCGGUGGAAUGCGCAGAUAUCAGGAGGAACACCGAUGGCGAAGGCAGGUCUCUGGGCAGUCACUGACGCUGAGGAGCGAGAGCAUGGGUAGCGAACAGG
rnacentral:rRNA from 1 species